rnacentral:rRNA from 1 species
UGGGGAAUAUUGGACAAUGGGCGCAAGCCUGAUCCAGCCAUGCCGCGUGAACGAUGAAGGCCUUAGGGUUGUAAAGUUCUUUUGUCAGGGAAGAUAAUGACGGUACCUGAAGAAUAAGCACCGGCUAACUUCGUGCCAGCAGCCGCGGUAAUACGAAGGGUGCUAGCGUUGUUCGGAAUCACUGGGCGUAAAGCGCGCGUAGGCGGCUUAACAAGUCAGAGGUGAAAGCCUGGAGCUCAACUCCAGAACUGCCUUUGAAACUGUUAAGCUUGAGUGUCGGAGGGGAUAGCGGAAUUUCUAAUGUAGAGGUGAAAUUCGUAGAUAUUAGAAGGAACACCGAUGGCGAAGGCAAUCCCCUGGACCUGUACUGACGCUCAUGCACGAAAGCGUGGGGAGCAAACAGGAUUAGAUACCCACGUAGUCCCUGAGCGGGCUGGCAAGGCGCAU